rnacentral:rRNA from 1 species
UGCCAGCCGCCGCGGUAAUACGAAGGGCCCGAGCGUUGCGCGGAAUCAUUGGGCUUAAAGCGUACGUAGGCGGACCUGCAGGCAUCUUGUGAAAUCCCACGGCUCAACCGUGGAACUGCUCGAUGAACCGCAGGUCUUGAGGCAAGUAGGGGCUGUCGGAACGAUAGGUGGAGUGGUGAAAUGCGUUGAUAUCUAUCGGAACACCAAAGGAGAAAUCAGACAGCUGGGCUUGUCCUGACGCUCAGGUACGAAAGCGUGGGUAGCGAACGGGAUUAGAUA